rnacentral:rRNA from 1 species
UACGUAGGUGGCAAGCGUUGUCCGGAUUUACUGGGCGUAAAGAGCGCGCAGGCGGUCGUCCAAGUCGCGUGUGAAAGCCCCCGGCUCAACUGGGGAGGGUCACGCGAUACUGGUCGACUCGAAGGCAGGAGAGGGUAGUGGAAUUCCCGGUGUAGUGGUGAAAUGCGUAGAUAUCGGGAGGAACACCGGUGGCGAAGGCGGCAUCCUGGACCGACAUUGACGCUGAUGAGCGAAAGCGUGGGGAGCGAACAGG